AUUUAAGCAAAGGAAACAGAAAGUGUCCCCUUUUCCCCUUUGCAUCCUCCAGUGGCAGUAUGUGAGCCACUGGCAAGAGAGGGCACCAGCGAAAGGCAUCCUCUAUAAGCUGGAUGCUGUAAUGGAGUAUGUACUGUCAUCUGAGGGCUUGAUUUGGUUGGCUGACUUACUCAUCAUUGCACUGCUAUAUCCUGUCACAUGCUGCUGAGGAACUGAGCAGGUCUGGAGGCUGAGGAAAGCUGCUUUCGGACCUGAGCAAAUAACAGCUACAAAAAUAAAUCAAGACCAAUCAGUGCAGUUAUUUAGGCUUAAGAGGUCUGGCAGAACCCUCAUGGACAUGAAGGACCAGAAUUGAAGAUACAUUUAAUAAUAUAUAUGUAUGCAGAUACAGUUUUGAAUUAUUCAAAAGGAAUCAUGAUGAAAUUCAUCUGUGAAUGCUAUCAACAGACUGACACCCUCUUUCUGAGAGAUGCUUAUAGCAAUGAAGUAUCUUCAAGAUCUUGAAGAGAAGACCUUGUGAUAAAUAAUCUUUUAUGAGCCUUGUGAUUCUCAUUUAAUUAAAGAUGAACUGGAUAAGCUUUCUAUCUCUCCUUGGGAUUUUUAAUAAAAGUUAAAAAUAAU
rnacentral:lncRNA from 1 species